ACCAGACUCCUACGGGAGGCAGCAGUGGGGGAUAUUGCACAAUGGGGGGAACCCUGAUGCAGCGACGCCGCGUGGGUGAAGAAGUAUUUCGGUAUGUAAAGCCCUAUCGGCAGGGAAGAAAUUGGACGGUACCUGACUAAGAAGCCCUGGCUAACUACGUGCCAGCAGCCGCGGUAAUACGUAGGGGGCAAGCGUUAUCCGGAUUUACUGGGUGUAAAGGGAGCGUAGACGGCAGUGCAAGUCCGGAGUGAAAGCCCGGGGCUCAACCCUGGGACUGCUCUGGAAACUGUAAAGCUGGAGUGCGGGAGGGGCAGGCGGAAUUCCUGGUGUAGCGGUGAAAUGCGUAGAUAUCAGGAGGAACACCGGCGGCGAAGGCGGCCUGCUGGACCGUAACUGACGUUGAGGCUCGAAAGCGUGGGGAGCAAACAGGAUUAGAUACCCUAGUA
rnacentral:rRNA from 1 species